rnacentral:rRNA from 1 species
UACGUAGGGUGCAAGCGUUAAUCGGAAUUACUGGGCGUAAAGCGUGCGCAGGCGGUUUGCUAAGACAGGUGUGAAAUCCCCGGGCUUAACCUGGGAACUGCGCUUGUAACUGGCAAGCUUGAGUGUGGCAGAGGGGGGUGGAAUUCCACGUGUAGCAGGUGAAAUGCGUAGAGAAUGUGGAGGAACACCGAUGGCGGAAGGCAGCCCCCUGGGCUAACAC